GAGGGUAUAGCUCAGUGGUAGAGCGCAAGCUUACCACGCACGAGGUCCUGGGUUCAAUCUCCAGCACCUCCA
rnacentral:tRNA from 1 species